GAGUUUGAUCCUGGCUCAGAACGAACGCUGGCGGCAGGCCUAACACAUGCAAGUCGAACGAAGCCUUCGGGUUUAGUGGCGGACGGGUUAGUAACGCGUGGGAACGUGCCCUUCACUACGGAAUAGCCUCGGGAAACUGAGAGUAAUACCGUAUACGCCCUUAGGGGGAAAGAUUUAUCGGAGAAGGAUCGGCCCGCGUUAGAUUAGAUAGUUGGUGGGGUAAUGGCCUACCAAGUCUACGAUCUAUAGCUGGUUUGAGAGGAUGAUCAGCAACACUGGGACUGAGACACGGCCCAGACUCCUACGGGAGGCAGCAGUGGGGAAUCUUAGACAAUGGGCGCAAGCCUGAUCUAGCCAUGCCGCGUGAGUGAUGAAGGCCUUAGGGUCGUAAAGCUCUUUCGCCUGUGAAGAUAAUGACUGUAGCAGGUAAAGAAACCCCGGCUAACUCCGUGCCAGCAGCCGCAGUAAUACGGAGGGGGUUAGCGUUGUUCGGAAUUACUGGGCGUAAAGCGCGCGUAGGCGGACAUUUAAGUCAGGGGUGAAAUCCCGGGGCUCAACCCCGGAACUGCCCUUGAUACUGGGUGUCUUGAGUUCGAGAGAGGUGAGUGGAAUUCCGAGUGUAGAGGCGAAAUUCGUAGAUAUUCGGAGGAACACCAGUGGCGAAGGCGGCUCACUGGCUCGAUACUGACGCUGAGGUGCGAAAGUGUGGGGAGCAAACAGGAUUAGAUACCCUGGUAGUCCACACCGUAAACGAUGAAUGCCAGUCGUCGGGCAGUAUACUGUUCGGUGACACACCUAACGGAUUAAGCAUUCCGCCUGGGGAGUACGGUCGCAAGAUUAAAACUCAAAGGAAUUGACGGGGGCCCGCACAAGCGGUGGAGCAUGUGGUUUUAUUUCGAAGCAACGCGCAGACCCUAACCAACCCUUGACAUUUGUCGCCACCUCCAGAGAUGGAGGGUUCCCU
rnacentral:rRNA from 1 species